GAUGAACGCUGGCGGCGUGCCUAAUACAUGCAAGUCGAGCGAAUGGGUUAAGAGCUUGCUCUUAUGAAGUUAGCGGCGGACGGGUGAGUAACACGUGGGUAACCUGCCCAUAAGACCGGGAUAACUCCGGGAAACCGGGGCUAAUACCGGAUAACAUUUUGAACCGCAUGGUUCGAAAUUGAAAGGCGGCUUCGGCUGGCACUUAUGGAUGGACCCGCGUCGCAUUGGCUAGUUGGUGAGGUAACGGCUCACCAAGGCAACGAUGCGUAGCCGACCUGAGAGGGUGAUCGGCCACACUGGGACUGAGACACGGCCCAGACUCCUACGGGAGGCAGCAGUAGGGAAUCUUCCGCAAUGGACGAAAGUCUGACGGAGCAACGCCGCGUGAGUGAUGAAGGCUUUCGGGUCGUAAAACUCUGUUGUUAGGGAAGAACAAGUGCUAGUUGAAUAAGCUGACACCUUGACGGUACCUAACCAGAAAGCCACGGCUAACUACGUGCCAGCAGCCGCGGUAA
rnacentral:rRNA from 1 species